UACGAAGGGGGCUAGCGUUGUUCGGAUUUACUGGGCGUAAAGCGCACGUAGGCGGAUCUUUAAGUCAGAGGUGAAAUCCCAAGGCUCAACCUUGGAACUGCCUUUGAUACUGGGGAUCUCGAGUCCGGGAGAGGUGAGUGGAACUGCGAGUGUAGAGGUGAAAUUCGUAGAUAUUCGCAAGAACACCAGUGGCGAAGGCGGCUUACUGGUCCGGUUCUGACGCUGAGGCGCGAAAGCGUGGGGAGCAAACAGG
rnacentral:rRNA from 1 species